UGGGGAAUAUUGGGCAAUGGGGGCAACCCUGACCCAGCAACGCCGCGUGAAGGAAGAAGGCUUUCGGGUUGUAAACUUCUUUGACAAGGGACGAAAUAAAUGACGGUACCUUGAAAACAAGCCACGGCUAACUACGUGCCAGCAGCCGCGGUAAUACGUAGGUGGCAAGCGUUGUCCGGAUUUACUGGGUGUAAAGGGCGCGUAGGCGGGUAGGCAAGUCAGAUGUGAAAUUACCGGGGCUUAACUCCGGGGCUGCAUUUGAAACUGUUUAUCUUGAGUAUCGGAGAGGCAGGCGGAAUUCCUAGUGUAGCGGUGAAAUGCGUAGAUAUUAGGAGGAACACCAGUGGCGAAGGCGGCCUGCUGGACGACAACUGACGCUGAGGCGCGAAAGCGUGGGGAGCAAACAGGAUUAGAUACCC
rnacentral:rRNA from 1 species